GCCUCAUUGGCUCAGAGNNGCAGAGCGUCUGUCUAGUAAACAGAAGGCCGCUGGUUCGAUUCCAGCAUGAGGCA
rnacentral:tRNA from 1 species